UACGUAGGGUGCAAGCGUUGUCCGGAAUUAUUGGGCGUAAAGAGCUCGUAGGCGGUCUGUCGCGUCUGCUGUGAAAACUCAGGGCUUAACCCUGAGCUUGCAGUGGGUACGGGCAGACUAGAGUGCGGUAGGGGAGACUGGAAUUCCUGGUGUAGCGGUGAAAUGCGCAGAUAUCAGGAGGAACACCGAUGGCGAAGGCAGGUCUCUGGGCAUUAACUGACGCUGGAGGAGCGAAAGCAUGGGGAGCGAACAGG
rnacentral:rRNA from 1 species